CCUACGGGGGGCUGCAGUGGGGAAUAUUGGACAAUGGGCGAAAGCCUGAUCCAGCCAUGCCGCGUGUGUGAAGAAGGCCUUCGGGUUGUAAAGCACUUUCAGUGGGGAAGAAAGCCUUGGGGCUAAUACCCUCGAGGAAGGACAUCACCCACAGAAGAAGCACCGGCUAACUCCGUGCCAGCAGCCGCGGUAAUACGGAGGGUGCGAGCGUUAAUCGGAAUUACUGGGCGUAAAGCGCGCGUAGGCGGUCUGAUAAGCCGGUUGUGAAAGCCCCGGGCUCAACCUGGGAACGGCAUCCGGAACUGUCAGGCUAGAGUGCAGGAGAGGAAGGUAGAAUUCCCGGUGUAGCGGUGAAAUGCGUAGAGAUCGGGAGGAAUACCAGUGGCGAAGGCGGCCUUCUGGACUGACACUGACGCUGAGGUGCGAAAGCGUGGGUAGCAAACAGGAUUAGAUACCCUGUAGUC
rnacentral:rRNA from 1 species